UUUUCCAUUCAGUUGUGUUCAACACUGAAAAAUGGUAUAUCAUUUUUUGUCCUUUCCAAAUUAAAAUAUCAAUCCGUAAUUUUUUUGUCAUUCACAAAUUAAAUUAUCAGUGUAGAAGUCUAUUUGAGCAUUCAUUUCCUAUCCUUUUAUAAACUAGAAGGCCACGCUAGGUUUCUUAGUGUAGUAUUUGGAAUGUUUGACCCUGAACUGGCCCUCUGUUCCAACUAACGAAAAAAUGACCCUUUGUUGUGAUUUUAGUUUUUGUAUGUAAAAUGAUAUUUGUAAAAUUUUGUAUUCGGUCUGCCAUUUGCCAGUGAAUUAGGGCUGCAUUUUAGAUUAGAACCAUGAAGUAACUAUGAUGUGCACCGCUUGAAACCAGAGUGAGUCUAAUGAAAGACGGGCAUUUGAUCAUGUUCUAUUUAAUUAUCGUUUCAUUCGUUUCGUCGUUCCAUCCCUCCCUGAACUGACCUUACCCACAACUCUUACCUUUUCAUUUCAUUUUAUCAAGGAAAGACUGUGGGGUUUGUGUAUCCUUAUCCAAGACAUUGUGAAGGCUUCAGAUGCAGUUUACAAGAAGCAAUUGGUGAGCUAAUUCAGAGAUAAGUGAAAUGAUAAUAAGAAGGUUAAAUAAUGUUGUUCAAUCUUUCCGUCAAGCAACCUGUUUGGCCCCAAAUGUCCGCACCGACGCGGUGACGCCCGUGGGCGCCACCGUUCCUUCCUGAAGGGCAUCGGGUGUUGCUUGGCAUGCGGAGGUUCAAGGUGCUAGGAGCGAGGUGGUAAAUCUCCGGUGAGCGCAGCGGUUGCGGGUCAUCAUCAUUUUCGUCGAUCCGACGUUGUUGACAUUAUUUUCUCUCUUCUUUCUCUUUUUCUUCUUUUGGGCGUGCUUGUGCUGUUUGCCCCAGCAUUGGACUCUUGAUUGUAUUGGGUUGUUGCUAUAUCUAUAUAGCGGGGCGAAAGCCUAUUUCGUAAGAUUCUUCCAUGAAUUCAAGACUUGGCAAACCACUCCCAUUACAAGGUUCCAUAACACAUGCUGGAUUUGUAUGCCAAGAUAUCUGAAGGGCAAAAACUUAGUACAUUUAUUC